GCUUUCUGUAAAUAACUUUCUGACCAGCAGGUCUCAAGGACUAACUCUACAAAGCCAUUGAAAUGUAACGAUUCCCCCUGUUUUCAGUGGGAGCAAAAGGGAAUUACUGUUAUUUAGACCUUUCUUUGAGCCUGACUGUCUGUGUGCAUCGUGUUUCCUAUUGCUAAGAGAAAGGAAAGCUCAGUUCCUUGUCUUCCAGAGGGAUCAAAAGCCUCAUGGAUGAGUGUCUGCAAAGGACUUUUGGGCUUCCAAGGGAAGAACAAAGCACCAAUAAGGGGUAGUAUUGGCAAUAGCACACCCACAUUCUUCACACGAACUGAAAUACUGGCUGAUCCCUCAAAAGUCAUAAUGACUGUGCUCCAGGGAGGAAAAAUAACACAGCCUCCUAAGCCAGUCACUGACCAUGUCCUAGCCAGCAAAGGAGCAGUUCUGAUCCUGUGCAAGGAGAGAGGACGCCCUACCUGUGGCAUUAAAGGAAGGAGCAGACAAGUACUGUCCGUAGAUGAAUGAACCUUAAUAUCAAUAUAAGAUUCUCCUCUUAUGGCUACAUAAAUCCUACUUAAUAUAAGCCCCGAGUUGGUGACAUUUAGGGCUGCAGCUCCAUUUCCCUGUGCAACAGGCAGCUGUAGCCAUGACGCCCAGUGGCUGCACAGACAUGGAAAUUUAGGAUGCUCUGCAUGGGUCACCAUGCAGGGAGACUGAGACUUCUCUCACACAGAGCGACUUAAGGGCCACAUGUUUGGGGGAAGUGACAAUCACCUCAUGGGCCCUGGGCUCCAUUCCUGACUGCUGAUGACUCAUUAGGAAAAUUACUUCAGCUUCCAUUGCUACCUAAUUUCCACUGGAUCUGUUAGUCCAUUCAGGAGCACAGCAACCCCUGCAAGGAAUUGCCAUCCUGGCUUGGGAAUUGCUGCUCCAGAGGUCAUUAGAGAACUUUAUUAAUACUCAUUGCAUUAACCUCCCAGCUAGCCAGUGACAGAAAUGCCAUUUCUCCCAUUCUAUAGCUGAGAAAAAUGAAGCAUAGACAGAUCCAUCACCUGGUUACAGAGUCAAUGGGAAUUCUUAAUGCUCCAUAAAUCUGAAAAUUAGGCUGUCAGCAACUUCUCCUGAGGUGAACCUGCAGCAAAGCUAUCCAGGAGCCCCAGUUCCUACCCAUCAG